GUUUCAUUUAGGAAAAACAACACACAUUACCUCUUCGCGAUAUGGCAUCGUACAUGAAGAACGCUGCUAAAGGACUACUGGGAAUCAGCAAGGCUUUCAUAUGCAUGUCCGUGGUGAUGCUGCUUCUCCUGUCAUCUGAAAAAAUGGGGUCGCAUGGCUGCGAAAAGCAGAUAAGCAGGCAGUGGAUGGGAGGCGUUUGCGUCAUUGCAGGCUCCUGCAGGGCCGAGGCGCCUACGGUGACUUCGUAAAUCUCAAGAUGAUAUGCCGGCUCGGUCUCUCGGAGGUGCUCAUAAGGGUAUGGUGUGCGUGUGUGCAUUCAUAGGGGUGAGUGUAUGCGCGUGUAUAUGAGCGCUUGUGUCUGUACUGAUGCUCAAAAAAAAAAGUACAUGCAUGUGCUACAGGAACUGCACCAAUCUAUCCGCCUAGCCACUGCAUGCAUGAACGAUCGGCAUGCAUUCGACUGAAAUAAAUUAAACAAGUUCUCUUCA